CUAAAAUCCUAAUUUUGGGGUUAGCAAAUUCUAUCAAACUAAAGUAUCUCCCAAUAGAAAUUUGAAAAUAACUUCUCUUAAAAUGAAUUAGUAAUAAUUAUGGAAAUUUUGAAUAAACAUUUAAAUUGUCUAUACAUUUAAAAUGAUGUUCUCUUGGAAUAAAUAAUAUAUGUGCGGUAUUCAUAUUUGAAAACAUUUGUGUAAUCAAUUAAUAAAGUAAAUAAUACAAAUAUAUAUAUAUAUACACACACACAUAUUUGCAUUUAUGUUGAUCUUUUCGUUGGUGUAUUUGACCCUAAGUUUAAAAUUUAACAUAAACUUGAAGUUGAAAUUAAAAAAAAAAGAGAAACAUGUAGGCCGGUUGGGCCAGAUUGCCCUAUUUCAUGCACCAAGCACGUCAAGCUAUUGGAAUAUAUAGCCCACGCUUCUUGCUCUUUUUUUUUCCUUUUUAUUCAUUCUCUAGCUGUUGAUCGCAUCAUCAUGGGGUCAGCCAUGACAUAAGCCAUACUGAUUCGUAGCUCGUUGGCAUGUGGGCAACAUUCCAGAACCAUCAUCCUCUCGUCAGCAAACGAAAGGGCACUACGCACAUGAAUUGUUACGGAUCCCGUAACAAUCGCCUGAUUUGUUAGGAUUCUUAUAGGAUUUUCCUUCACCUCGGCAUCCUCUCGCGGGUAUAAAUAUGAAGACCCUGGUGCACACGUAUAGCCAGCCUCGACUCAGCAAUUCUACCGCCGCGGGCAGCGAGGAUCGAGAGGGAGAGAGAAGAAUCGUCGCCGUUGAACCUAUGCUUGCAGCGGUGGUCAGGAAGCCAUUGUGGGUAAUCUUCAAGGCGCGUCGGAGCCAUACGUUGCCCCGACCAGCGUGCUGGGGUCUCCGUCGACUAUCCAGCAUUUACUGGGCUCGUACCUCGUUGCAGACUAUGCGGUGGUGGCUCCACCUCGUCCUCUUCAUGGCCGCGGCGAGACCCUCCCUAUUGUGCUUGUUGUGAGCCCCGCACCGGAUCGGGGACCAUGGGUGUCACCAGCGCACCAUGAGGUAUAUACCAGCCUCAGCCUGGGCGCCAUCGCGGGGAUGGAUGCGCCGCCACCAUAGGCUCUGGCAUCGCUGGGUCUGACCGGUGGAAAGGGAAGAAAGAAGAUGACUCAUGGACCGUUGAUCAAGAAAUGUAUGGCUCUGAUCAUAUGGCGAGCGUGAGGUCACGAGGAUCCGAAGAAUUACCCUGGUAAUUGGAAUCUCAAGUGUCAGGCAAGUUGUGCCCUUGAUCACUUCUUUUUACCUACUCAUGUUCUGAUUAAUCAUAAUGAUCUGCAUAGGUUAAUUUUGAUGGGACCCAAUAGGUUACCCUAGUUUGUCUAUCUUUAUACCUUGUUACCACUGAACUUUUUGGGUAGUACUUGCUAGUGCUUUAUGUGGUUUUGGGUAUGAAGAUACAUUACUCAUGAUUACACUUUUAUUAUAUGUUUAUUAUUUAUUGUUCAUGAUAAGAUCAUUAUGUUAAUUGGAACAUGGAGAACCACCCGGGAAAACAGUGCUACCACAAGGGUUUAAUGGGACGCCCUUGGCCGAUUAAUUAGGAAAGCUAGUGGAAGACUACCUUACCCGAAAGGGGCAAGGGCAGUAGGGGAGUGGUCAGUGUAGGGAGGCCCUCGGGAGGAUUUUGCUGCGAUGGCGGUCCUGCAAGGGAUUCCUGCAUUGGAGCUUCCUAUAAACUGUAGCGGGUUUUCUGAAGCUAGUGGAACUUUGUAAAGGCCUCGUAGUGUUACCCUGCCUCGCCUCCUCGGUAGAGGUGUAUGGGAAGUCGCGAUCCCUUGGCAGAUGGGUAACAUGACUUGUGGGUAAAGAUGCGCAACCUCUGCAGAGUGUAAAACUGGUAUACUAGCCGUGCUCACGGUCAUGAGCAGCUCGGACACUCACAUGAUUAACUUAUGGAACUUAAAUUCAAUUUGUCAUAUGCAUUGCAUCGCAGGUGAUGUUGUUACUUUUGUUUCUACUAUUUAAUUGGGUUGGUAUUUACUUAUACUUAGUAACUGCUAAUAAAAUUUUGACCAACUUUAAAAGCAAUGCUCAGCUCUAACCAUCCUCUUUGGUAAAGUCUUACACUUCACGUGAGCUCCCACCUUUGGCGAGUUCAUGCACAUUAUUCCCCACAACUUGUUGAGCGAUGAACAUAUGUGAGCUCACUCUUGCUGUCUCACACCCCCCCACAGGUCAAGAACAGGUACCGUAGGAUGAGGCGCAUGGAGGAUGCUGUGAUGAGUUCGUGAGUGGUCUAGGCCGUCGUCUCCCAGUCAACUUUGGGUUGCUGGAUCGUUUCCUCAUAUGAUGUAAUUAUUUAAUUAUUUUGUAUAGAACUCCUGUUAUAUAGUAAAGAUGUGACAUUCGAUCCUGUGCCACUAUGCAUCAUAUGUGUGAGACUUGGUCCCAGCACACCUGGUGUUUAUGUUCGCGCCCGGGCUUUGGACCCCUAAAACCCGGGUGUGACAGAAGUGGUAUCAGAGGAAUGUUGACUGUAGGACGAAACCUAGAUAGAACUGGACAACCAUUUUCUACUUACCUCUGCUACUCAGAUUCUUUCUAAACUCUUCUUAAUCUUUUCUCAUCUAUUUCCGCUUUACUCUGAUUAUUCUUACCUUUUCAUUCUAACGACAAAUGUGGAUUUCACACUUUGAAGUCCUGUAUCUAAAGUGACUUUUUGGAGUAGGAGACCUAUUCAUAGGAACCACAACAAAACUAUAUUUAUAUAAAUAUUUGCAUGCUUGAAUGUUUGUUCUUAUGAUACUCGUCUGAUUUGGAUCUUUGAUUGAGUGUGAUGGAUUGUGGAGUAAUGUCCACAAUUACAUCUGCAUAUACAUAAUACUUAUAAACUAACUAGACAAACUAGAUUAUCUCUCAUUAAAGUAUCUAGCCUAACAAUAUCUAUCUCAUCUUAAAAGAUUCUAUCCUACACUCAUAGAUCCAUCUCCUCCCAAAAGAUCCUAACUUAUCCUAAUCUAGCUUAAUAGAUUUACCUUAUCUUAAGAGAUACUCUAUUGCCUUAAUAGAAUCAUCCUAUCUUGAAAAAGAUUUCAUGUCAUCCUAAUAGAUCUAAUUGAUCUAAAAAAAAGAAAGAGAUUCUACCUUAUCCUUAUGGAUUCAUCUUGCCCUAAUAAGCAUAUUUAUCCCAUUCUAUAGUAACAACUACGAUCUAACCCACAAAAAAAUAUUAGAGCUUAUCUAGUCUAAUCUUGCCAUACCAAGCUAAUCCAGAACCCAACUAAUAUAAUAUGACCCAAUCUAUAUUGAAUUACUUAACAGGUUAGUCAACCCUGGUGACAUAGAUUAGACCCUAUUUCUAUAAACAUGACUUAACCUAAAAUUGGUGCCCCAGACUAACUUGGCCAUAUACAACUACCUAACCAUAUGUAACUACCUUACCCGUCAAAUGGUUGCAUAACCCCUCUGUAUCAACCUAACAACAAAACAGAGAUUCUAACCAACCUACCCCAUGAAAUCUAUCCUACCCACAGUUAUCUUAACUACAUAUCCCUAACUCGGAUGAUCAUACCACGACCAAAGGAAAGAAGAAGGUCAAACUCGACAAGAAAGGAUAUGAAUAGACUCAGAACUUCAGAUGAAUCAAGAUCCACCAUCCAAGAUGAAGUCUUUUCUUGCCCUGCCUUUCUUGCCUCAACCUAUCCUUGCUCUAACCAAAUCUUGUCUACUAGAUGGCUAGAAAUAAAAGAUGCUAAUGCUUUUCUAGUCACCUGCUAAUCAGUAUUAAAGAAUCAAAAAAAAGACCCUUAAAUUUUGAACCUAAAAUCUCAAUUGCAAACCAAUCUUUCUAUAUCCCUUUUCUUACUAAUCUCGAGGGCGAGAUUAUUUUUAAGGGGGGGUAGAAUUUGUAACACCUAAAAUCCUAAUUUUGGGGUUAGCAAAUUCUAUCAAACUAAAGUAUCUCCCAAUAGAAAUUUGAAAAUAACUUCUCUUAAAAUGAAUUAGUAAUAAUUAUGGAAAUUUUGAAUAAACAUUUAAAUUGUCUAUACAUUUAAAAUGAUGUUCUCUUGGAAUAAAUAAUAUAUGUGCGGUAUUCAUAUUUGAAAACAUUUGUGUAAUCAAUUAAUAAAGUAAAUAAUACAAAUAUAUAUAUAUAUACACACACACAUAUUUGCAUUUAUGUUGAUCUUUUCGUUGGUGUAUUUGACCCUAAGUUUAAAAUUUAACAUAAACUUGAAGUUGAAAUUAAAAAAAAAAGAGAAACAUGUAGGCCGGUUGGGCCAGAUUGCCCUAUUUCAUGCACCAAGCACGUCAAGCUAUUGGAAUAUAUAGCCCACGCUUCUUGCUCUUUUUUUUUCCUUUUUAUUCAUUCUCUAGCUGUUGAUCGCAUCAUCAUGGGGUCAGCCAUGACAUAAGCCAUACUGAUUCGUAGCUCGUUGGCAUGUGGGCAACAUUCCAGAACCAUCAUCCUCUCGUCAGCAAACGAAAGGGCACUGCGCACAUGAAUUGUUACGGAUCCCGUAACAAUCGCCUGAUUUGUUAGGAUUCUUAUAGGAUUUUCCUUCACCUCGGCAUCCUCUCGCGGGUAUAAAUAUGAAGACCCUGGUGCACACGUAUAGCCAGCCUCGACUCAGCAAUUCUACCGCCGCGGGCAGCGAGGAUCGAGAGGGAGAGAGAAGAAUCGUCGCCGUUGAACCUAUGCUUGCAGCGGUGGUCAGGAAGCCAUUGUGGGUAAUCUUCAAGGCGCGUCGGAGCCAUACGUUGCCCCGACCAGCGUGCUGGGGUCUCCGUCGACUAUCCAGCAUUUACUGGGCUCGUACCUCGUUGCAGACUAUGCGGUGGUGGCUCCACCUCGUCCUCUUCAUGGCCGCGGCGAGACCCUCCCUAUUGUGCUUGUUGUGAGCCCCGCACCGGAUCGGGGACCAUGGGUGUCACCAGCGCACCAUGAGGUAUAUACCAGCCUCAGCCUGGGCGCCAUCGCGGGGAUGGAUGCGCCGCCACCAUAGGCUCUGGCAUCGCUGGGUCUGACCGGUGGAAAGGGAAGAAAGAAGAUGACUCAUGGACCGUUGAUCAAGAAAUGUAUGGCUCUGAUCAUAUGGCGAGGUAACGUUUCGCUCGGACUUAUCCAAUGCCGUAGAUCGUAAAUCGUGGGGCUGUGAGUGGCUUGUGUUUCAUUAAAUCUGGUCCAUUUGAUCUAAUCCAACGGCUUUGGGUCCCCGGUACCUCUUCGCCGUUGCCUAUUUGCUAAAGAGCCCCUGUAGAUUGUACGAAUUAACCCGCAGACUAGAGGUAGUGUUAAGGUAUUAAACUUAAGUCCUAAUAUUUUCAGAAUGGCCCCUGUGCUCUCGGAUUUUUAUGUCCGCGGUCCAUAAUCGUUGGAGGAAUACAAGAUGUAAAAUAGAAAAUGAUUUCUAGAAUGAAAACAAUUACAUAAACUUGGUUAAUUCAUAACUAAUUCAUUUUAACUCAUUUUUGACCCAUUCCAAUUGCAUUAAUUUUAUAAUAAUAUUGUUUAUCACCUAGUAACUCUGUUUUAACAUGGAAGCCACAUUAGAAUUGAUCACUUAAUUAAUUUUGUACCAAGCACAUAAAGACUUCGGGAAAUCAUAACUAAUACAUCUUAACUCCGUUUUAGUCCAUUCAAAUUGCAUUGGUUUCAUAAAAAUAUUUUCUAAGCAGUAAUAACAUUAUUUGUAGCAUAUCAGGUACUUUUAUACUUUGAUAUUUAUUUAACUUAUGGUUAGUAGACUAACUCUUCUAAUCCAAGGAUGAUAUAUCAGUAAUUAAUUUUACUAUAAUAUGAUUUAUAAACAGGUUAUAAUCUGGAUUAAAGUUUACUUAACUAUUUGAACUCAUAUGAUGUAUAUUAACCAAUUUAUAAUAUAGUUUAACAUUUUAAAUCACAUUUAUCUUCCAUAAACCAUAACUUCAUAAUCGUAGCUCCGAAUUUAGUGAUUCUCGUUCCCACGAUCUCGCAGAAACGCGUAGAUUAUUACACAGUUUUGUUCUUAUGUUUGGUGUGAUGUUAAUUUUGUCCAUACCAUGUCUGUUUGUAUUGCUACGACUAGCGUGAGGUCACGAGGAUCCGAAGAAUUACCCUGGUAAUUGGAAUCUCAAGUGUCAGGCAAGUUGUGCCCUUGAUCACUUCUUUUUACCUACUCAUGUUCUGAUUAAUCAUAAUGAUCUGCAUAGGUUAAUUUUGAUGGGACCCAAUAGGUUACCCUAGUUUGUCUAUCUUUAUACCUUGUUACCACUGAACUUUUUGGGUAGUACUUGCUAGUGCUUUAUGUGGUUUUGGGUAUGAAGAUACAUUACUCAUGAUUACACUUUUAUUAUAUGUUUAUUAUUUAUUGUUCAUGAUAAGAUCAUUAUGUUAAUUGGAACAUGGAGAACCACCCGGGAAAACAGUGCUACCACAAGGGUUUAAUGGGACGCCCUUGGCCGAUUAAUUAGGAAAGCUAGUGGAAGACUACCUUACCCGAAAGGGGCAAGGGCAGUAGGGGAGUGGUCAGUGUAGGGAGGCCCUCGGGAGGAUUUUGCUGCGAUGGCGGUCCUGCAAGGGAUUCCUGCAUUGGAGCUUCCUAUAAACUGUAGCGGGUUUUCUGAAGCUAGUGGAACUUUGUAAAGGCCUCGUAGUGUUACCCUGCCUCGCCUCCUCGGUAGAGGUGUAUGGGAAGUCGCGAUCCCUUGGCAGAUGGGUAACAUGACUUGUGGGUAAAGAUGCGCAACCUCUGCAGAGUGUAAAACUGGUAUACUAGCCGUGCUCACGGUCAUGAGCAGCUCGGACACUCACAUGAUUAACUUAUGGAACUUAAAUUCAAUUUGUCAUAUGCAUUGCAUCGCAGGUGAUGUUGUUACUUUUGUUUCUACUAUUUAAUUGGGUUGGUAUUUACUUAUACUUAGUAACUGCUAAUAAAAUUUUGACCAACUUUAAAAGCAAUGCUCAGCUCUAACCAUCCUCUUUGGUAAAGCCUUACACUUCAUGUGAGCUCCCACCUUUGGCGAGUUCAUGCACAUUAUUCCCCACAACUUGUUGAGCGAUGAACGUAUGUGAGCUCACUCUUGCUGUCUCACACCCCCCCACAGGUCAAGAACAGGUACCGUAGGAUGAGGCGCAUGGAGGAUGCUGUGAUGAGUUCGUGAGUGGUCUAGGCCGUCGUCUCCCAGUCAACUUUGGGUUGCUGGAUCGUUUCCUCAUAUGAUGUAAUUAUUUAAUUAUUUUGUAUAGAACUCCUGUUAUAUAGUAAAGAUGUGACAUUCGAUCCUGUGCCACUAUGCAUCAUAUGUGUGAGACUUGGUCCCAGCACACCUGGUGUUUAUGUUCGCGCCCGGGCUUUGGACCCCUAAAACCCGGGUGUGACACUUGUUGACAUUCUUAUUAUACUUUGGAACUUUUGAACAGGAGCAAGAGAAGAUCGAGAGGAAAUCAUCUGUCGAAAUAUCCAGGGCUGACAUGGAGCCAAAGACGCCAGAACUCCUGAAGGUGCAAGAGCAAAUGGGGGUGCAAGAGCAGUCGAAGGUGACAUCUGCCCUGGCAGAAACUCCUAAGAAAGGAAAAAGAAUGGCUAAUGUGCUAGAAGCUAUCAUGAGGCCUAUGAAGAUAGUGUCGCUUGUACCACCAAAGGUUUCUAGGGACAUAGUCGAUGAACUGAAGAUGACUAUCAACGUAGACAUUACUUGGGUGAAGAUGGACCUUCGGGAUCCAUUUUGCCAAGACAGAAAUCUGAUAGCCUACCAGAGAAAGUAGUGCUGCCAACACCCGAAGUGGCAUCACAUAAAGAUCUUGAAUACAUUAUUCACCAUGCUUCGGGGAAACAACUGAUUAAAGAACAAAUUGCCGAAGUGCAAUAUUAUGCUCGAGAGCUGAGGUAUCAUCGAGGUUCCUUAGUAUACGAGGGCAAUGAUGAAGAUGGUUAUCUAUACUGUCUCCUAGAUAAUAAAGUGAUUGAUGUAUGUCUUGAGAAUUGAGAUGAUGGACAAUAUGGGUUAUCUGAAGCUUGAGCUCGGGCUAUCCACAAUGCCGAAGGAUCAUCUUGCGUAUUGCUUAGCAUAUAAUAAUUUAAAGGGGCUUAUUCUGAGCAAAGCAUCAAAAGCACAGAAGGAUGCUAAAGAUGAAAGCACUCGAAUAGCCUUCGGAAAUUUACGUUCAGAAGUAAUAAACCUUCGGCACGAGGCUAUUGAGAAAUAUAAAAUCUUGCUUUCUUUGGUCAUCAAACAAAAAGAAAGCCAGACUGAGCUGGCUAAAUUUUCCAAAGAGAGUUCGAUAGUUACAAAACUAGAAUAAGAAAAGAAAGCUGAUUCGAAGCGUAUUGUAGAUCUAGAAUCUGCACUGCCAGCCCAUGUAGAACUACACAAAUCUGAAGUAUCAAGGCUAGAAGAAAAGCUUGAUGAGUUUAACAAGAAUUUGGAAGUUGAAAAGGAAAAACGUGAAAUAGCCGAAACUGAGUGGAACAGAGUUUAGAAGAACGUUAAUGAGCUUCAGUUGUCAAAAGAGCAAAGUUUUUCUGUUGCCGUGCAGUGCUGUGAUAAGCUGAAGAAUAUGUUCGCCAACGUUGGUGCAUUUUCAAAUGACCAAAAAUUUAUCCACAGUGAUGCUGAAGGGGCAACUAGAUGGAUGGACGACGAAAUUGAGGCUUUUGAUGAAGUCCACACUGGUCGAGGUGAUUUUUGCUCUUGUGUAGGGGCCCGCGGGGUAGUAUCACUGCUUGAGAAGGCUCGCUGUGAACAUGCAAAGGUUGUAAUUCAACCAGAUUUCGUAGUUUCAGCUAAAGAUAUAAAAGAACCCUCUGCCGAAGCCACCGCUUUUGGAGGAAAGUUUUAUUCCGAAGUUUGGCUUAAUGGUGGAAAAGAGAUAGCAGACAAAGCUAUCAAACAGAAUGAAGAAUAGGUUAUUUCAGAUAUAAAAUUUUUACUAAAUUUUUUAGUUUACCUUUUGUUUAAUUCUCUAUUUUGAUUUUCUCAGACUCAUCGGCUUCGGUAGAAUCCAAGAAGGCCAAAGAGGCUGCGGAGCUAAAAAGACGAAUAGUGGACCUUUCUCCGCCACCAUAACAGUAUGAUCCUGAAGCCGAUCCAUCACUAAAGGGAAUACUGGAUGAAUUAAAGGCGGUGAACGCAGCAAUAGACGAAGUUGUCAAUGCAUUGCUGAACGAGGCUGCUGAGAAAGUUCUGAAGGAAGACUAAUGAGUUGUAAAAACUCUAUGUUAUGUCUAGGAAGUAUGUAAAAAUAUUUUAAAGUUUAUGUCUUGGUUUAUGUAAAAAUAAUUGUAUUGUUCAAGUAAUUGCAAUUUAUACUUUAUUCCUUUAUGUAGCGUGAAAUAAAUAUACAUACUAUUUUUUAGCCGAAGGCGAAAAAACACAUUCCCUUCUUUUCACGCUUCAUAAAGGAAAACUUCUCCAGUCGAAGGUUGUGUAGUACCGUAGAUAUUAC